AACGCCUAGUUGUUGUGGUGGUAGCACGUGCGCAAAAUGUACAUACAUAAGAUCUAGUUUUCUCAAGUAAAGGACCGAAAUUGGCGGUGGUGAUAUUAUUUAGCUGCUGAUUAUGAAUUCGUUCAGCUUUGUGAUUGGAUAUUGCUCGUUCCUUGGCGUCUCCUACAAGUAAGAAGCGUGCGUAAAUUGUCUAAAACUAAAGACAGGUGUGUGGAAACAAUCAAAAUGCGACGUGUAAAUUUGACCAACAAUGACAUUGGAUCUGUUAAUGAAACCCACAAUUUCAGGGUAGUAUUCUUUCUUGGCGUGACGUAACUGAAGUUGGUCUAUCGUUAUUUGAUGAUUUAAAUCUCAAUUGUUUGUAGAAGGCCACCGUAUGCAAAGAGGUUAAGGUUUCCCUUGUAGAAUUUCGACGCGCUUUAACAUUCGCUGCCGUAUGCCGAGAGGUUAAAGUUCCCCCUGUAGGAUUUCGAGGCUCUUUACAGUCGUGACCGUAUUUAAAUUAUCCGCAAGUACAAGUCACAUGGGGGUGGUGCAGGAGGUUGAUCGAAGUUAGGGGGCGCUAGAACCUAUAUUGGUAUUAAAUUGGCAGGUUCGGACCGGUAAUGUCUCACCUAAGAAAACGCUGCUCGGUUGAUUCAGGUGAAUCAAAUUAUUCAAACUAGGCGUUAUUAGUACAUCAAAUUAGUUUCACAUGGACGGCCUUUAGCUAUCUGCGAUUGUGUUAUCGGAAAAGAAAGUUUGGUGGCAGAGGAUCGUGGAGGAUAUCGGAUAAUGAAAUGGAAACAUGUGUGAUUUGCUUUUUGUCACAUUUAACGGCAAUCGACUUAAUGCCUAAUGGCCGUACCCGACGUAAGGCCCGACAACUCGUCUCAAGGCAUUUAGUGGCAAUCAAAGCAGGUGACACCGAGUCUAUCUUGUGUGCGCUAUAAAUAGCUCUAAACAGCCUGUUCAGUUUUUGGGGUAUUACAGAGUAAGGUUACAGCAAUGAAUGUAGUUUUUUGUCAAAAAAUAAAAUUCGAUCCUCUGCAAUGCA